CUCAUUGUUCAAGAGCCGCGGUACCCUGACCGUGCAAAGGUAGCAUAAUCAUUAGGAGCUUAAUUGGAACCUUGUAUGAAGGGCUGAACAAAAAAAGAGCUGUCUCUACUUCAAAAUUUGAAUUUGACUUUUAAGUGAAAAGGCUUAAAUUCCUUAGAGGGACGAUAAGACCCUAUAAAACUUUAUAACCAUGCAAAAUCCUAUUAAAAUCUAAAUAAAAAUUUAUUUUGCUAUUUUAUUCUGUUGGGGCGACAAAGGUAUAAAUUAUCUAGCUACCUAACCUUUAUACAGUUUAAGCGAUUUCAACUCACUGAUCCUUUCUAGAGAUUAAAAGACUAAGUUACUUUAGGGAUAACAGCGUUAUUUCUUUUCAGAGUCCUUAUCGAAAAAGAAGAUUACGACCUCGAUGUUGAAUUAAAUUAUCUACGCAAUGCAGCCGUUGCAAAAGAGGGUCUGUUCGACCUUUAAUUAUUU
rnacentral:rRNA from 1 species